UUCCGGUUUUAAACGCAUUCAACUAGGCAGACCAUCCCAAAUUGUAACCAUUGGGCAUAAGUUGUGUUACCCUGCUAGUGAUAAGUUAAUGAGCACAGAGUAACUCUCCAGAAAGUGAAGAAUUAAAGAUUGUGCCCUUUUUUGCUUCCCUUUCUGUGAAUCCCUCGAAGAUAAUACAAUUUACCCUCGGUACUGUCACCAACAGUUGAAUGAGCGACGAUGGAACUCGCCUGUGCAGACUCGUAAGGCGACCUCGUGACGACGACGUACUGAAACUGAGCAGAAAAAAUAGCAGAAUCGAUGACGCCUUAGUAGGUAGUAAACGAGUAAUAAAACAUGACAAAAAUAAACAUAACAUUGUCUACCCAGUUAGCUACAUAAAUUGGAGUGAAAUCUAAGGGUGAAAUGGAAAUAGGUGUAUUCGCUUCCAGUUCGCGGUGUCGCGGUAACAGAAAUGUUGUACAAUUCACAAACUAUAUUUUACUGCGAUGUUGCUGCUCAGAGUCGAAGUGAAGAUAUUGUUUUCUAUGUAAUCCGCAAGUUAACGAUGUUGUUGCCCGAACUUCAACAAUUGCAUCGAAGUGUCAGAAUGGUAACAACGGUAACGGAUUCACCGACCGACUCGGCAUUAUUAGUAUCGAAUGCGAUCAUCGGAUUCUACACCAUCGCACGAGUAUCAGCACACUGCAGAUCGUCAACAGGUGAAGGCAGGGUAAUUGUAAAGCAGGUUAAUUUCGAAUAAAGCAGUCUUAUUUCAGUAGCCGAAGUGUGCAGAAGUAAAGAAAAAGUUAUGUCGCAGAAUAACAUGGCGACUCCACAAA